CUUACAUCGAUGUUCGUGAAUAAUAAAUUCUGUAUAUCUGCCCUUUUUGUUUCGAAAAUUUCGUGAUUUUGGGUGAACAGAUUACGUCUAAUAUAUAUAGGUGUUGAAGUUUUGAUCGGCGAUAUACUUUUCUUUAAUAUAUGUGGUGAUCUCUGUGACGUAUAUUUGACGACAGGACUACUCCCACAGGGUUUAGUUCGCUUCGAGGGCGGGGAUAACUUUUAUCUCCAUGGCUUUUUGUAGAGAGUCAAUUUUAGUCCUCUUUUCCUUUUACCUUUGAAUAAUGGCAUUUUCUGAAUUUGAGCAAACAAUUUUAAAUAGUUUGAUUUCAUUGAAUCAGUGAUCAGUUUACAUCUGUUAAAGUAUAAGGAUAAAUCUGUGAUGAUUUUUAAUCAGCAUUGAUCACAUUUAUUGAGUCAACAAAAGUCACAAAGCCAAAGAUUAAAAAAAAAUGCUGUACUUCCCCUCACGCAUUCACGAUGUCCUCAAUCAGAACCGAUCCCCUCACGCAUGACUUAAUGAAAAAAUGUAGUUUUUGGAAUUAUUAAGACGUCUAUCAACACCGGACAGCGUACACGCCGCCAAAAACAACAUUCAUACCCAUUGCCCUAAAAAAAAACUAAAUUUGAACUUGUAGGUCUGUAAAUAGAACCAUUUUAAAAUUGAAAUGUCACUUUUUUAGGCGAUUUCUCGUGGGGCAACUGAUUUUGUAAGAGUUCAACUCUACGUACAACAGUAAAUGAUACAUGUAUUUCUUCGUUAAAGUAUUCACCACAGCAUAGCAUUCUCUGAUUUUCAAUAUUUUGAUCAGUUGAAUAAGAAAAUUGAGAUUUAGAAAUGUACAUACCUUUUGAAGCGGUGACAAUUACUCCACUCAAGCACAACCG
rnacentral:lncRNA from 1 species